rnacentral:rRNA from 1 species
UACGUAGGCAGCAAGCGUUGUUCGGAGUUACUGGGCGUAAAGGGUGCGUAGGCGGCUUUUUAAGUUUGGUGUGAAAUCUCCCGGCUCAACCGGGAGGGUGCGCCGAAUACUGAGGGACUAGAGUGCGGGAGAGGAAAGUGGAAUUCCUGGUGUAGCGGUGAAAUGCGUAGAUAUCAGGAGGAACACCGGUGGUGUAGACGGCUUUCUGGACCGUAACUGACGCUGAGACACGAAAGCGUGGGUAGCAAACAGG